CUUCAAUCUUGCGUUUGGCUUUUGCAGUGGAGGAGCUAUCUGCAGAUUCUAGGAAGCGGCCCUCUACCUUUUAUGAUAUUCUGAAGGGGAAUUAGAGCACUUUAGAACAUUUAUGCACUGUGCCAGUUUCCUCUCUGGAAGGUUGUCUCACAUAAUCAUCAUAAGUUUGAAGUAUCUGGUCAUUCUCCAUCGGAGUGUGAGCACAAAGGCACUUGUAUUUCACAAAGUUUGAUAUUAUAAAUGCUUGGAUGAUCCAUUCCUCAGUGUGCUCUCAAAUAAUCUGUUUUCUGUUGAAAAUUCUAGGAUAUGUCCUAUAGAAAGUCAAUAAUUGAUCCCUCUUUUGGGUUCUA